CUCUUAAUUCCACUGCUCUGGAACAUUCUUCCUAAGGAGGUGAUGGCACAUUUUCCCUUCUUAGCGAUUCCCCAGACUUCUCAGCUGCUUCCUGUCUGUUGAAAGAACUCCUGUCCCUUAUAAAGUGACAAGUAGCAUGAACUUCAUUUCUGGUCCUUGGAAUGAGUAUCCCUGCCCACUCAGGCAUCAUGCUCUAUCCUCCAUGGAACUGGGACACCGUCUGACAAAGGUGAAUGGAAUUGUCUGUCACUACAAAACCGUGCUUUUAUUUGUCUAUGGAAUGAACCUUGAUAAUUCCACAAAGGCCUACCAAGAGCUUUUAUAGAACAAGAGAACUGCCUGCCUCCAGGGACUUGUCAGCACUUAGAAUUGCUUGUUUUCUGUUCCUUUGUUUUCAACAAAAAAAAAACAAACUUUAGAAUUGAAACAAGGAGUGCAGUCCUCAUUAAGUCUGAGCCUAUGUUGGAAACAAAAGAAGCCAGAAACUUUUCAUGGGACUUUUAAUUUGUGGAGAGUGAUGCCAGAGGUUUUAAAUCCCAGAGC